rnacentral:misc_RNA from 1 species
GAAAAAUGUGCUUGAACUCUGGUAGUUCUUUCUACGGAGUCGGUGAUAUUCAAUCCCAAUUUCACCUGCCAAUAUCCAACCUCUAUGGGGUAGGAUUUUCAGUAUAUGAUGGACUUGUACUUGAGGUACAAUUUGAUAAGGGAGUCACAAAUAGAAUUCCUACAGUUGUAAAGCACAAUCUUGGCAAAGACGGCUAAGUUGUUGAGUUCUGAAGACUUCUUCCCUGUAAAUUAUAUAUACUAUUUCUAGGGUUUUAGUUGGAGGAUACAUUGUACUUCUAUUAGGAUUUGUAUUAGGAUUUGAUAUGGAGCACAAAGGGAAUGUAUUGAUGCAUAGGUAUGACUUUGGGCGAUUGUUA